UCUCUGGUGGUCCAGUGGCUAGGCCUCUGCACUCCCAACACAGGGGGCCUGGGUUUGAUCCCCAGUCGGGGAA
rnacentral:tRNA from 1 species